UGCAAGUCGAGGGGCAGCGGAGAGGUAGCAAUACCUUUGCCGGCGACCGGCGCACGGGUGAGUAACACGUAUGCAAUCCACCUGUAACAGGGGGAUAACCCGGAGAAAUCCGGACUAAUACCCCAUAAUAUGGGCGCUCCGCAUGGAGAGCCCAUUAAAGAGAGCAAUUUUGGUUACAGACGAGCAUGCGCUCCAUUAGCCAGUUGGCGGGGUAACGGCCCACCAAGGCGACGAUGGAUAGGGGUUCUGAGAGGAAGGUCCCCCACAUUGGAACUGAGACACGGUCCAAACUCCUACGGGAGGCAGCAGUGAGGAAUAUUGGUCAAUGGUCGGCAGACUGAACCAGCCAAGUCGCGUGAGGGAAGACGGCCCUACGGGUUGUAAACCUCUUUUGUCGGAGAGUAAAGUACGCUACGCGUAGCGUAUUGCAAGUAUCCGAAGAAAAAGCAUCGGCUAACUCCGUGCCAGCAGCCGCGGUAAUACGGAGGAUGCGAGCGUUAUCCGGAUUUAUUGGGUUUAAAGGGUGCGUAGGCGGCACGCCAAGUCAGCGGUGAAAUUUCCGGGCUCAACCCGGAGUGUGCCGUUGAAACUGGCGAGCUAGAGUGCACAAGAGGCAGGCGGAAUGCGUGGUGUAGCGGUGAAAUGCAUAGAUAUCACGCAGAACCCCGAUUGCGAAGGCAGCCUGCUAGGGUGCGACAGACGCUGAGGCACGAAAGCGUGGGUAUCGAACAGGAUUAGAUACCCUGGUAGUCCACGCAGUAAACGAUGAAUACUAACUGUUUGCGAUACAAUGUAAGCGGUACAGCGAAAGCGUUAAGUAUUCCACCUGGGGAGUACGCCGGCAACGGUGAAACUCAAAGGAAUUGACGGGGGCCCGCACAAGCGGAGGAACAUGUGGUUUAAUUCGAUGAUACGCGAGGAACCUUACCCGGGCUCAAACGCAGG
rnacentral:rRNA from 1 species